rnacentral:sRNA from 1 species
UCGAGACGCCGUGUCCGAGACCGGGCCGCUCCGGAUAAACUGCCUGCGGAACCGUGCGGCCGCAGCCUCGAAACGGUUCCGCCACGAUUCAGCCAGCAGCCGCUGCAACCCCAGGGAG